rnacentral:rRNA from 1 species
CCUACGGGUGGCAGCAGUCGAGAAUCAUUCACAAUGGGGGAAACCCUGAUGGUGCGACGCCGCGUGGGGGAAUGAAGGUCUUCGGAUUGUAAACCCCUGUCAUGUGGGAGCAAAUUAAAAAGAUAGUACCACAAGAGGAAGAGACGGCUAACUCUGUGCCAGCAGCCGCGGUAAUACAGAGGUCUCAAGCGUUGUUCGGAAUCACUGGGCGUAAAGCGUGCGUAGGCUGUUUCGUAAGUCGUGUGUGAAAGGCGCGGGCUCAACCCGCGGACGGCACAUGAUACUGCGAGACUAGAGUGAUGGAGGGGGAAGCGGAAUGCUCGGUGUAGCAGUGAAAUGCGUAGAUAUCGAGAGGAACACUCGUGGCGAAGGCGGGUUCCUGGACAUUAACUGACGCUGAGGCACGAAGGCCAGGGGAGCGAAAGGGAUUAGAUACCCGUGUAGUC